rnacentral:rRNA from 1 species
AACGCUAGCUACAGGCUUAACACAUGCAAGUCGCGGGGCAGCAUGUUACUGGCUUGCCAGUAAUGAUGGCGACCGGCGCACGGGUGAGUAUCGCGUAUCCAACCUUCCCAUAUCCACGGGAUAGCCUGCCGAAAGGCAGAUUAAUACCGUAUGUUGUCGCACGCUGGCAUCAAAAUGCGACGAAAGGCUUAGCGGAUAUGGAUGGGGAUGCGUCCGAUUAGCUUGACUGCGGGGUAACGGCCCACCGUGGCGACGAUCGGUAGGGGUUCUGAGAGGAAGGUCCCCCACAUUGGAACUGAGACACGGUCCAAACUCCUACGGGAGGCAGCAGUGAGGAAUAUUGGUCAAUGGGCGGAAGCCUGAACCAGCCAAGUAGCGUGCAGGACGACGGCCCUAUGGGUUGUAAACUGCUUUUGUACGGGGAUAAAGUGAGCCACGUGUGGUUUAUUGCAGGUACCAUAUGAAUAAGGACCGGCUAAUUCCGUGCCAGCAGCCGCGGUAAUACGGAAGGUCCAGGCGUUAUCCGGAUUUAUUGGGUUUAAAGGGAGCGUAGGCCGCCCCUUAAGCGUGUUGUGAAAUGCCGCGGCUCAACCGUGGCACUGCAGCGCGAACUGGGAGGCUUGAGUGCACGCAACGCAGGCGGAAUUCGUGGUGUAGCGGUGAAAUGCUUAGAUAUCACGAAGAACUCCGAUUG